rnacentral:lncRNA from 1 species
UUAUUGUUAUUACAGUAUUAGAGAUUGCUAGCUUGGCUUUGCCUUGCAAGUCCUGUAAGAGCCUCCCUUGGUAUUCAGCUACCGGAAUCGAAGCAACAGAAGUGUUUGAGUUACCAAAUCUCUUUGGAAGCAGUAGAGAUUCACUAUAUCCAUCAUCAUUUAUCUUCUUCAUUGUAUUCUUCAUUCAUAGGCAAAGAGAUCUCAUCAAAGCUUUUGAUUUCCUUAGAGAUAUCUUUACAUUUUUUUCUUCCAAGCCAGCCAUGAUGCUCUGUUGCUAUUGGCGGAAGAUCCAACGUACAUUGGACCUUGAAUUCCAUCUAAAGCUCUCAUACCAACAUGAAAGAAGAUAGUGUUGUGGUUUGCAUAACGAUCACUCGAGUCGAUACCUUCAAACUUUCUGAGGGAACUGAACAUAGCAGAUUCUAUCACCACCACGAUCAAGCAUGAAGCAUAUUCCUUCCCUCAAAGCCAUGGGGUUGUAAAUGUAGUACGUGGUAAGAAUCAAGAUGGAGAAUGAAUGGGCCAUUAAGCAUUCAUGGCUACUGCUUUCUUGUUGUGAUCAUCAUAUCAAGGAACGGUACAUAGAGUAGCAAUGGUAGCCUGAUGUUAACUGCAUUAUAGUAGAUGUUACUUGCUAGGUAGGUUGGGUUGAAAGUACUUGAAAGUAAGGAACAUGUAAAGAACUGGUUUUAUUUAAUUUUGGUUCUUAACAGGGUAAUUUGAAACCCAUGUAGCCACCAGAGACAAAAUCAUUCCAAACAUUAAGAGCUCCAUGGGUCGUCAUCAGUACAGUGCUAAGUGCCAUGACGAUACCAACGGCAAACACAAUGAUCGAAGCCCUCCCAUACUUGGCUAUAACCU